rnacentral:rRNA from 1 species
UACGUAGGGUGCGAGCGUUAAUCGGAAUUACUGGGCGUAAAGCGUGCGCAGGCGGUUCGUUAAGUCAGAUGUGAAAGCCCCGGGCUCAACCUGGGAACUGCAUUUGAAACUGGCGGGCUUGAGUGUGGCAGAGGGGGGUGGAAUUCCGCGUGUAGCAGUGAAAUGCGUAGAGAUGUGGAGGAACACCGAUGGCGAAGGCAGCCCCCUGGGUUAACACUGACGCUCAGGCACGAAAGCGUGGGGAGCAAACAGG